GGUCACAUGAUUGUGACAUUAUCACAGGUCCUAUACCUCCAGGGUCUAGAAGGUCGGUUGGGGGAGGAGAUUGACAGCUGACUGCAUGAUCCUGUAUAUAUAGCAUUAAGCAUCUGCUUUUCUUUUAUAAUGCCACAUAAGUCAGAAGAAGAAUGGGAUAAUGCAGAUAGACCAAAGACAUUUUCUGCUACAUAAUAUUUAGCUGUGUAUAUAAAUAGGAUUUCUCUAGUACAAUGGUCUCCAGCUAGUGGCUUGUGAACUCCAGCAUUGU